rnacentral:rRNA from 1 species
ACGGAUAAAAGCUACCCCGGGGAUAACAGGCUUAUCUCCCCCAAGAGUCCACAUCGACGGGGAGGUUUGGCACCUCGAUGUCGGCUCGUCUCAUCCUGGGGCUGAAGUAGGUCCCAAGGGUUGGGCUGUUCGCCCAUUAAAGAGGCACGCGAGCUGGGUUCAGAACGUCGUGAGACAGUUCGGUCCCUAUCCAGCGUGGGCGUAAGAAAUUUGCGAGGACCUGUCCUUAGUACGAGAGGACCGGGAUGGACAUACCACUGGUGUACCAGUUGUUCCGCCAGGAGCAUAGCUGGGUAGCUAAGUAUGGAAUUGAUAAGUACUGAAAGCAUCUAAGUACGAAACAACCCUCAAGAUAAGAUUUCUAAAAGUACGUAAAGAAAAUACGUUAGAUAGGUCCAAGGUGUAAGUGCAGUAAUGCAUUAAGCUAAUGGAUACUAAACUUUAAAUCUUGACUGG